GACGAACGCUGGCGGCGUGCUUAACACAUGCAAGUCGAACGGGAGUAUUGAAGAAGCUUGCUUUAGAGAUACUUUAGUGGCGGACGGGUGAGUAACGCGUGAGGAGCUGUCCUAUGCAGGGGGACAACAGUUGGAAACGACUGCUAAUACCCCAUAAGCCGAGAGGUAAAAGGAUUUAUCCGGCAAUGGAGGUACUCGCGUCCUAUCAGCUAGUAGGGGAGGUAACGGCUCACCUAGGCGAAGACGGGUAGCCGGCCUGAGAGGGCGAACGGCCACACUGGAACUGAGAUACGGUCCAGACUCCUACGGGAGGCAGCAGUGGGGAAUAUUGGGCAAUGGGGGGAACCCUGACCCAGCGACGCCGCGUGGGUGAAGAAAUCCUUCGGGAUGUAAAGCCCUGUUGUAUGGGAAGAGCGGAAGACGGUACCAUACGAGGAAGCCCCGGCAAACUACGUGCCAGCCGCCGCAGUAA
rnacentral:rRNA from 1 species